AAUUCUGACUAGCCUGCCCGCUGCUCACCUCCUGCUGUGUGGCCCAGUUCCUAACAGGCCACGAACUGGUACUGAUUGUUCCCCAGAGUUUGGGGACCCCUUGUCUUGACAGUAUCAUGCACAGUGCCAAGAUUUCACUAUGUUGCCCCAGUCUGCUCUCGAACUCCUGGGCUCAAGUGAUCCUCCCACCUCAGCCUCCCAGAGUGCUGGAAUUAGGUGUGAGACACCAUGCCCAGCCCCUGAGUGGCUUCCUAGCCAUUCCUUGACUUGAAGUGGGAAGAAAAGGAUCAAAGAGAAAAAGAGACAAAAAGUAAUAUGU